rnacentral:rRNA from 1 species
GUUCGAUUCCGGAGAGGGAGCCUGAGAAACGGCUACCACUUCCAAGGAAGGCAGCAGGCGCGCAAAUUACCCAAUCCAGACAUUGGGAGGUAGUGACGAGAAAUAUCAAGGUAAGCCAAUUGGUUUACUAUUGAAAUGAACGUAAUGUAAAUACUUUGAUGAGUAACAACUGGAGGGCAAGUCUGGUGCCAGCAGCCGCGGUAAUUCCAGCUCCAGUAGUGUAUUUCAAAAUUGUUGCGUUUAAAACGCUCGUAGUCUGAUGACAAAAAUGAUUUAUAUUUAUGUUUUUUUAAAUAUUUUGUAUAAAUYAUUUUUUAUUUGCAAGAACUGAYUAUGAACUUUUAUGUUUAUGGUUAGUCACUUGCAAGGCGUGCCUUGAAUAAAGCAAAGUGCUCAAAGCAAGCGUAACGCUAGAAUGUAAUAGCAUGGAACGAACAGUGUUGAUUCYGAUUUAGUUAGUUGGUUUAAUUAUAAUURUGCAAAUUUUUAUARUUUACAUUUUUUUUAUUAAUCAUGUACUAAAUCGGGUCCUGGUUAAAAGGRACACUUGAGGAUGUUAGUAUUUAAUGGCGAGAGGUGAAAUUCUUAGACCCAUUAAGGACUUACUAUUGCGAAAGCAUUCAUCAAGAGUGUUUUCAUUGAUCAAGAACGAAAGUUGGAGUUUCGAAGACGAUCAGAUACCGUCCUAGUUCCAUACAGUAAACUAUGCCAACACGGGAUCAGUUCGAAGCUGUAUUCAAAUUGGUCCCCCCGUGAAAACUAAAGUUUUCAGGUUACGGGGAGAGUAUUAUCGCAAGUUUGAAAUUUAAAAGAAUUGACGGAARGGCACCACCAGGAGUGGAGCCUGCGGCUUAAUUUGACUCAACACGGGGCAACUCACCAGGUCCGGACAUUAAAAGGAUUGACAGACUGAUAGAUCUUUCAUGAUUUGAUGAUUGGUGGUGCAUGGCCGUUCUUAGUUGGUGGAGUGAUCUGUCAGGUUUAUUCCGGUAACGAGCGAGACCACGGUGUUUAGUUAAUGGCAUUUUUAUAUUUAUAUAUUAAUGAUUCUAGACAGACAACCGGAUUGAAGCCGGGGGAAGCGUGGCAAUAACAGGUCUGUGAUGCCCUUCGAUGUUCUGGGCUGCACGCGCGCUACAAUGGAAACAACAAAAAGCUAAUUAUGCCGAGAGGYAUGAUGAACCAUUAAUUGUUUUCGUGAUUGGGAUUGAGCCUUGUAAUAUUUGCUCAUAAAAGUGGAAUUCCUCGUAAAUAUGGGUCACCAACCCGUGUUGAAUACGUCUCUGCCCUUUGUACACACCGCCCGUCGCUACUAC